AUGUUGGCCGGGCGACGGUUGUCCCGGUUUAAGCGUGUAGGCUGGUUUUCCAGGCAAAUCCGGAAAACUAAGGCUGAGGCGUGAUGACGAGGCACUACGGUGCUGAAGCAACAAAUGCCCUGCUUCCAGGAAAAGCCUCUAAGCAUCAGGUAACAUCAAAUCGUACCCCAAACCGACACAGGUGGUCAGGUAGAGAAUACCAAGGCGCUUGAGAGAACUCGGGUGAAGGAACUAGGCAAAAUGGUGCCGUAACUUCGGGAGAAGGCACGCUGAUAUGUAGGUGAAGUCCCUCGCGGAUGGAGCUGAAAUCAGUCGAAGAUACCAGCUGGCUGCAACUGUUUAUUAAAAACACAGCACUGUGCAAACACGAAAGUGGACGUAUACGGUGUGACGCCUGCCCGGUGCCGGAAGGUUAAUUGAUGGGGUCAGCGCAAGCGAAGCUCUUGAUCGAAGCCCCGGUAAACGGCGGCCGUAACUAUAACGGUCCUAAGGUAGCGAAAUUCCUUGUCGGGUAAGUUCCGACCUGCACGAAUGGCGUAAUGAUGGCCAGGCUGUCUCCACCCGAGACUCAGUGAAAUUGAACUCGCUGUGAAGAUGCAGUGUACCCGCGGCAAGACGGAAAGACCCCGUGAACCUUUACUAUAGCUUGACACUGAACAUUGAGCCUUGAUGUGUAGGAUAGGUGGGAGGCUUUGAAGUGUGGACGCCAGUCUGCAUGGAGCCGACCUUGAAAUACCACCCUUUAAUGUUUGAUGUUCUAACGUUGACCCGUAAUCCGGGUUGCGGACAGUGUCUGGUGGGUAGUUUGACUGGGGCGGUCUCCUCCUAAAGAGUAACGGAGGAGCACGAAGGUUGGCUAAUCCUGGUCGGACAUCAGGAGGUUAGUGCAAUGGCAUAAGCCAGCUUGACUGCGAGCGUGACGGCGCGAGCAGGUGCGAAAGCAGGUCAUAGUGAUCCGGUGGUUCUGAAUGGAAGGGCCAUCGCUCAACGGAUAAAAGGUACUCCGGGGAUAACAGGCUGAUACCGCCCAAGAGUUCAUAUCGACGGCGGUGUUUGGCACCUCGAUGUCGGCUCAUCACAUCCUGGGGCUGAAGUAGGUCCCAAGGGUAUGGCUGUUCGCCAUUUAAAGUGGUACGCGAGCUGGGUUUAGAACGUCGUGAGACAGUUCGGUCCCUAUCUGCCGUGGGCGCUGGAGAACUGAGGGGGGCUGCUCCUAGUACGAGAGGACCGGAGUGGACGCAUCACUGGUGUUCGGGUUGUCAUGCCAAUGGCACUGCCCGGUAGCUAAAUGCGG
rnacentral:rRNA from 1 species